UAUGUCUGCCUGUAUGUAUAUAUGUAUGUAUGUGUAUGUCUGUAUGUCUGUCUGUAGGCAUGCAUGUAUGUGUAUGUAUGUAUGUUGUAUGUCUGUCUGUCUGUGUAUGUCUGUCUGUCUCUGUAUGUAUAUCUGUCUGUCUGUAUGCAUGUAUGUCUAUGUAUGUAUGUAUAUAUGUCUGUAUGCAUGCAUGUCUGUAUGUAUGUCUGUGUGUAUGUCUAUGUUUGUCUGUCUGACUGUAUGCAUGUAUGUAUGUCUAUGUAUGUAUGUCUGUCUGUAUGUAUGUAUGUGUAUGUCUGUAUGUAUGUCUGUAUGCAUGCAUGUAUGUCUAUGGAUGUAUGUAUGUCUGUAUG